rnacentral:rRNA from 1 species
UACGUAGGGUCCGAGCGUUGUCCGGAAUUACUGGGCGUAAAGAGCUCGUAGGUGGUUUGUCGCGUUGUCCGUGAAAACUCACAGCUCAACUGUGGGCGUGCGGGCGAUACGGGCAGACUGGAGUACUGCAGGGGAGACUGGAAUUCCUGGUGUAGCGGUGGAAUGCGCAGAUAUCAGGAGGAACACCGGUGGCGAAGGCGGGAUCCUGGGCCAGUACUGACGCUGAGGAGCGAAAGCGUGGGGAGCAAACAGG